rnacentral:rRNA from 1 species
GUAGGGUGCGAGCGUUAAUCGGAAUUACUGGGCGUAAAGCGUGCGCAGGCGGCGCCGCAAGUCAGGCGUGAAAUCCCCGGGCUUAACUUGGGAAUGGCGCUUGAAACUACGGUGCUGGAGUGUGGCAGAGGGAGGUGGAAUUCCACGUGUAGCGGUGAAAUGCGUAGAGAUGUGGAGGAACACCGAUGGCGAAGGCAGCCUCCUGGGCCAACACUGACGCUCAUGCACGAAAGCGUGGGGAGCAAACAGGAUUAGAUACCCUGGUAGUCCACGCCCUAAACGAUGAUGACUAGUUGUUGGGGGAGUUAAAUCCCUUAGUAACGCAGCUAACGCGUGAAGUCAUCCGCCUGGGGAGUACGGUCGCAAGAUUA